CGGUUGAAUGGACUCACCAGGAAAUGUGACUUUCGUGUCCGACCUCUGCUGUAUCAGGAUUCGAGUCUCGGUGUUAAACAAGACAACACUGAAGGCUCGGUGUAGCAGCCCUGCAAAGGAGUGGAGCCCCAACCCACGCAGGGUGUGUCUUCAUGGCUUUUCCUGGCCAGUCUGAUACCAAGAUGCAGUGGCCAGAAGUGCCUGCACUUCCGCUCCUGUCAAGUCUCUGCAUGGCUGUGGUGAGGAAGAGCUCUGCACUGGGCAAGGAAGUUGGCCGUCGAGUGAAGGAAAUGGUGAUGCUGGUGGCCCCUUUCCUGCAGUCAAGUUCCCUAUCAAGGACAUUCAGUUCUCGGAAAGUGUUGAAGGCACACGCUUCCCUGCAUGGUGCCCGCUUCUCUCCAUUCUCUAGAAAUAUUAGAGGCUAGGCUGCUGCUGUAUGUCAGGGCUAGUCCCUCUUUUAUGAAUCCAGAAUAACUCUGAAGAAGCCCAGUAAAAGGCAUGAAGUGAAGAGAAAUCGCUGUAACAGGAAGACAGCAAAGCAGAUGCUAAUGACUACACUAUUUAACGAACUGGAACCAACAAGAAAAUACAGUAUUACUGAAGACUGCACUUCCUUGAACAGAGUGCUCUUCUCAGCAAAUCGGAAAUGCCUACACAAAUUGCUUUACAAGAAAGACUAUUUUAAAACAGCACCUUUCUCAAUGUUCUCAUUCAGGUGACAAUUCUUCUUGGUCUCAGCCCCAAUUUUAUUGUCAUUUUCAUCAAUAAGGAUACACAUCUCUGCCAGGAGUUGAACCUGUUGCUUGUCGAGGUGGUCAGUGUUUAUUUCAGGCAUCAUUACAAAAUGUCUUAUCUGUCCUAGAACACUAAUAUUAAAGGAAAAGAGAAAGAAAGGC
rnacentral:antisense_RNA from 1 species